rnacentral:rRNA from 1 species
GAUGAACGCUGGCGGCGUGCCUAAUACAUGCAAGUCGAGCGAACAGACGAGGAGCUUGCUCCUCUGACGUUAGCGGCGGACGGGUGAGUAACACGUGGAUAACCUACCUAUAAGACUGGGAUAACUUCGGGAAACCGGAGCUAAUACCGGAUAAUAUAUUGAACCGCAUGGUUCAAUAGUGAAAGACGGUUUUGCUGUCACUUAUAGAUGGAUCCGCGCCGCAUUAGCUAGUUGGUAAGGUAACGGCUUACCAAGGCAACGAUGCGUAGCCGACCUGAGAGGGUGAUCGGCCACACUGGAAGUGAGACACGGUCCAGACUCCUACGGGAGGCAGCAGUAGGGAAUCUGCCGCAAUGGGCGAAAGCCUGACGGAGCAACGCCGCGUGAGUGAUGAAGGUCUUCGGAUCGUAAAACUCUGUUAUUAGGGAAGAACAAAUGUGUAAGUAACUAUGCACGUCUUGACGGUACCUAAUCAGAAAGCCACGGCUAACUACGUG